UGUGGACGGGAUAAGUGCUGAAAGCAUCUAAGCAUGAAGCCCCCCUCAAGAUGAGAUUUCCCAACUUCGGUUAUAAGAUCCCUCAAAGAUGAUGAGGUUAAUAGGUUCGAGGUGGAAGCAUGGUGACAUGUGGAGCUGACGAAUACUAAUCGAUCGAAGACUUAAUCAAAUU
rnacentral:rRNA from 1 species